UACGUAGGGUGCGAGCGUUGUCCGGAAUUACUGGGCGUAAAGGGCGCGUAGGCGGCCUUCUAAGUCAGACGUGAAAUCCCCAGGCUUAACUUGGGAACUGCGUCUGAUACUGGGAGGCUUGAGUGCGGGAGAGGGAUGUGGAAUUCCUGGUGUAGCGGUGAAAUGCGUAGAUAUCAGGAGGAACACCGGUGGCGAAGGCGCACAUCUGGCCCGAUACUGACGCUGAGGCGCGAAAGCUAGGGGAGCAAACGGG
rnacentral:rRNA from 1 species